ensembl:misc_RNA Metazoa_SRP Metazoan signal recognition particle RNA
GCUGGGCAUGGUGGCUCAUGCCUGUAAUCCCAGCACUUUGGGAGGCCGAGACAGGUGGAUCACCUGAGGUCAGGAGUUCAAGACCAGCCUGGCCAACAUGGUAAAACCCUGUCUCUA